GCUGCUCGGAAUAAUAUCACACACCUCUCCGUGGUGAGCAGCAGGCAACGAUCUGAGAAUCAGAGAUUUGAUGAUUGGCAAAGAUGUGAA
rnacentral:ribozyme from 1 species